rnacentral:rRNA from 1 species
UACGUAGGGGGCAAGCGUUGUCCGGAUUUAUUGGGCGUAAAGAGCGUGUAGGCGGCUUUACAGGUCCGUUGUGAAAACUCGAGGCUCAACCUCGAGACGCCGGUGGAAACCGUAAGGCUAGAGUCCGGAAGAGGAGAGUGGAAUUCCUGGUGUAGCGGUGAAAUGCGCAGAUAUCGGGAGGAACACCUGUGGCGAAGGCGGCCCCCUGGUUGGAUACUGACGCUGAUACGCGAAAGCGUGGGGAGCAAACAGG